GGAGGAUACCCUGGAGACGUUGACAGGAGUAGCUCAGCUGGUGGCCAAGGCUCCUAUGUACCCCUGCUUCGGGACACGGACAGCAGUGUGGCCUCUGGUGAGAAUCCAUCAUCCCGAAGUUGGAUGCGCCUGUAAGGGAGAGGGGUGGGCCAGGAUCCAUCCUCCCAAACCGACCACCACCCCCCUGUCCCUAGAAGUCCGCAGUGGCUACAGGAUUCAGGCCAGCCAGCAGGACGACUCCAUGCGGGUCCUGUACUACAUGGAGAAGGAGCUGGCCAACUUCGACCCUUCUCGACCUGGCCCCCCCAAUGGCCGUGUGGAGCGGGCCAUGAGUGAAGUCACCUCCCUCCACGAGGACGACUGGCGAUCUCGGCCUUCCCGGGGCCCUGCCCUCACCCCUAUCCGGGAUGAGGAGUGGGGUGGCCACUCCCCCCGGAGUCCCAGGGGAUGGGACCAGGAGCCCGCCAGGGAGCAGGCA
rnacentral:sRNA from 1 species